rnacentral:pre_miRNA from 1 species
AUCAACAAAUCAUGUGACCUGUGGGUUUCCCUUUGUCAUCCUAUGCCUGGAGCUGUCUGUAAGGCAGGGACAGCAAAGGGAGGCUCAGCUGUCACCUCUCAC